UGGAGCACUGGGUGUGGUGAAAAAGUAGCGGUCCACCCAAGGGCACAGUGGUGUGCUGCCCUGGGCCUGUCGGAUAUGCUCCUGAAGGCUCAAGUCAUUCCAAACUAUGGACUUGUCCUUUCUGCAGAGAAAGAAAAAAGGAAGAGGAGGGAGAAAUAGAGGAGAUGGAAGUGCUGGCUGUGGGGAGAGAAGAAAAGAAGAGAGAACACAGUAGUCCCAAAAAGGAGCACGCAGGAGAGCAGCCCACCUAAUAGAGCGUCCCGGAGGCCAGGGCCAGCGGGUGCUGUAAGGAGCCGGGCGGCGGCAGCUCCUCGGGGCCAGAAUCCGCCCGCAGCUCUGGGCGGCGACUUGAACAUUUUUUGCGCUUAUCUAGGCCCCAGUCGGUUGAAUAGAGAGAGAUGGAAAGGGGACAGUCCUGGAAGAUUUGCUCAUACAACAGCGCCCCCACCUCGCGUCCCUCAGGCUGUGGCGGCCGAAAGCUGCGAAGGAGCAGGGCGCGACCCUUCCUUAGGUCCCUGGCCUGAACCCACCGCAAGGCCGUAGGUCCCUGCUCACCCCGGGAAGGCUUCGCGUCGUAGAGAGAACCAGACGCUUUAUUCAGAUUGCAAGGC